GGAUUAGAUACCCGGGUAGUCCUGGCCCUCAACGUUGUUCGCUCGUUUCGCGGAGUAUCGACCCUCUGCGGGACUAAGGUAACCCGGUAAGCGAACCGCCUGGGUAGUACGAUCGCAAGAUUAAAACUCAAAGGAAUAGACGGGGACUCGCACAAGUGGUGGAUUAUGCGGCUUAAUUCGUCGACAAACGAAGAACCUUACCAAGGUUAGAAAUCCAACUGCACGCCCCCUGAAAGGGGGGAAGCCUUCGAGGGUGUUGGACAGGUGAUGCAUGGUCGUCGUCAGUUCGUGGUUUGAACUGUUCCCUUCAGUGGGGUAACGAACGCAACCCCCGUUGCCUGUUGCCUAUAUGGUCAGGCGAGACUGCUCCCUCACGGGAGAGGAAGGUGGGGAU
rnacentral:rRNA from 1 species